GACGAACGCUGGCGGCGUGCUUAACACAUGCAAGUCGAACGGAAAGGCCCUGCCUUUGUGGGGUGCCCGAGUGGCGAACGGGUGAGUAACACGUGAGUAACCUGCCCUUGACUUUGGGAUAACCUCAGGAAACUGGGGCUAAUACCGGAUAGGUGUUCUUGCCGCAAGGUGUGGGUUGGAAAGUUUCGGCGGUUGGGGAUGGACGCGCGGCUUAUCAGCUCGUUGGUUGGGUAGUGGCUUACCAAGGCUUUGACGGGUAGCCGGCCUGAGAGGGUGACCGGCCACAUGGGGACUGCGAUACGGCGCAGACUCCUACGGGAGGCAGCAGUGGAGAGUAUUGCGCAAUGAGCGGAAGCCAGAUGCAACGGCGCCGCGUGCGGAAUAACGGCCUUCGGGUUAUGAACCACUUUCGCCUGUGACGAGGCGUGAGUGACGGUAAUGGGUAAAAAAGCACCGGCUAACUACGUG
rnacentral:rRNA from 1 species